rnacentral:rRNA from 1 species
CACAAUUAAGUUUGAUCAAAUUAUAAGUUUUGGAAGGAGCGAUGUACUAAAGUAUGAAAAAUGUAUUAUAAUGCAUUUCGAAAAGUUCUCAAUAAAUCUUUCGAACUGUCGUUGAAUUCAUAGACAAACAAGAGAUAACUUGACGAACUGAAACAUCUUAAUAGCCAGAGAAAGAGAAAGUAAAAGCAAUUCCCAUAGUAACAACGAACAAAAUGGGAGCAGCCUAAAUUGUGAAAAUAGAAUUGUAGGAGAGCAAUACAAGCAUCGUGCGGUUAGGCGAAACAACACAAACAUUGCACCAUAGAUGGCGAAAAUUCUGACAAGAGUAGUAUAGAGCACGUGGAAUCCCACGUGAAUUAGCAAAGAUUACCUUGCAAGACAAAUAAUCUUGAGUGAUCGAUAGCAAAGUAGUACCGUGAGA